rnacentral:rRNA from 1 species
GCCCGUCGCUCCUACCGAUUGGAUGACUCGGUGAAAUCACCGGAUGCUUACGAGCAGAAAGUGAUUAAAUCACGUUAUCUAGAGGAAGGAGAAGUCGUAACAAGGUAACGGUAGGUGAACCUGCCGUUGGAUCAGUUCUAGUUUUAAUAACUAACACCAACUUCUUUUAUUAAACAAAACCAAUACAAAAUUAAAAACUAACUUCAUCAAAAACCAAGUCUCUAAGCAAUGGAUGUCUUGGCUCCUCACACGAUGAAGAACGUGGCAUAAUGUGUUAAGUAACCGGAG